rnacentral:rRNA from 1 species
AUUGGGGAUCCACUAAGCCAUGCGAGUCGUGAGGGUUCGGCCCUCGGCUGACGGCUCAGUAACACGCGGAUCAAUCUGCCCUUGGGUGGAGGAUAAUCUCGGGAAACUGAGAAUAAUACUCCAUAAGUCUAGGAUGCUGGAAUGCACUUAGACUAAAAACUUCGGUGCCCAAGGAUGAGUCUGCGGACUAUCAGGUUGUAGUCAGGGUAACGACCUGACUAGCCUACGACGGAUACGGGUUGUGAGAGCAAUAACCCGGAGAUGAUAUCUGAGACACGAUAUCAGGCCCUACGGGGCGCAGCAGGCGCGAAAACUUCGCAAUGUGCGAAAGCACGACGAGGGAAUCCCAAGUGCCGGCUCGUUAGAGUCAGCUGUUUUUAUGUCUAAAAAGCAUAAAGAGUAAGGGCUGGGUAAGACGGGUGCCAGCCGCCGCGGUAAUACCUGCAGCUCAAGUGGUGGCCGCUAUUAUUGGGCCUAAAACGUCCGUAGCCGGUUUAUUAAAUGCCUAGGUAAAUUGUGUGGCUUAACCAUACGAAUUCUGGGUAGACUGGUAAACUUGAAACCGGGAGAAGCUAGAGGUACUUCUGGGGUAGAGGUGAAAUUCUGUAAUCCUAGGGGGACCACCAGUGGCGAAGGCGUCUAGCUAGAACGGGUUUGACGGUGAGGGACGAAGCCCUGGGGCGCAAGCGGGAUUAGAUACCCCGGUAGUCCAGGGUGUAAACGCUGCUUGCUUGAUGUUGGUUGGGCUCCGAGCCCAAUCAGUGUCGGAGAGAAGUUGUUAAGCAAGCUGCCUGGGAAUUACGGUCGCAAGACUGAAACUCAAAUGAAUUGACGG